rnacentral:rRNA from 1 species
AACGAACGCUGGCGGCAUGCCUAACACAUGCAAGUCGAACGAGAUCUUCGGGUCUAGUGGCGCACGGGUGCGUAACGCGUGGGAAUCUGCCCUUUGGUUCGGAAUAACAGUUGGAAACGACUGCUAAUACCGGAUGAUGACGAAAGUCCAAAGAUUUAUCGCCAGAGGAUGAGCCCGCGUGGGAUUAGCUAGUUGGUGUGGUAAAGGCGCACCAAGGCGACGAUCCUUAGCUGGUCUGAGAGGAUGAUCAGCCACACUGGGACUGAGACACGGCCCAGACUCCUACGGGAGGCAGCAGUGGGGAAUCUUGGACAAUGGGCGAAAGCCUGAUCCAGCAAUGCCGCGUGAGUGAUGAAGGCCUUAGGGUUGUAAAGCUCUUUUACCCGGGAUGAUAAUGACAGUACCGGGAGAAUAAGCUCCGGCUAACUCCGUGCCAGCCGCCGCAGUAA